rnacentral:lncRNA from 1 species
GAGAUGCCUUAUGGAAAAGGAUUCCUGUCUCAUGACCAGCUGUGGUGAUAAAACCCUCCUGGGGCACUCAGGACAGACCGGGAUGCUUUCAGCAAGAAGCAAUGCUCAUCUGUUGUGCCCACUUGUGAGUGAUGAAGGCCACACCAGGGCCAUGCCAGCCAGUUAUACUCUGCGAUGCCGCCGCUGAUUGCACUGCAGAUAUUCUGACUGCUGUCAGUGGAGUGAGAGAUGGACUGCACCUGAAUAUUUCUAAGGAGAGUUAAAUGUGAUCUCGAAUUCUUAUGGCUGCUGCACUGAUGAUGAUCUGAGAUAAUCGGUGGCUGAGAGCAGCGAGGAGGGACGCUUGAGGUGCUCCGUGCCUGGAUGGAUGAGUCAGAUGCUCAGCACUGCAGCCCCAACAGGGUGUGGAGAAAGCCCCAGCCAUCCUCACAAAGACAGAAACCAACCAGCUGCAGGAAAAAUCAAGAGUGUGACAGCAACGGAGCUGAAUCCUUUGCUGAGGGCUCUCCUGUUACAUCUGCAGCCAUUCCUGGAAGGUGGUGGGAAACCAGAGCCAACCCAUGCCCCACUUUUUGGUGUGCAUGCAGCACCCACCUGCUUUCUGCUGCCAUGGUAAGCUCUGUGCUGGAAUAUCAGCCCACACUUGGCUCCGCUGUUUUAGGCUGCAAUGGAUAAUUUCUAAUCCCUCUAUUCAGAGAGUUUGAAGGAACAGGAGGAGAAACAUAUGGCAUAUGCCACCUCAGCUCCCAGGAGGUGUGGGGUUGUUGUCCUGGCAGCUGUUGGGGUAAUCCUUGUCCUUCUGUCUGUGCCCAUGUCGGA